CACAGUGCGGCGGGAGAGCGUGGUGGGUCAGGGGCGGGGAACCGUUCGGGACCGCGCCAUCGCCGAAGGAGCAAACCCUCCCCGGGAACCUCUCAGGCACCCGUACCGCCGCACCAGG
rfam:Kocuria rhizophila DC2201 DNA, complete genome.